rnacentral:rRNA from 1 species
AUUGAACGCUGGCGGCAGGCUUAACACAUGCAAGUCGAGCGGAGUGAUGGUGCUUGCACUAUCACUUAGCGGCGGACGGGUGAGUAAUGCUUAGGAAUCUGCCUAUUAGUGGGGGACAACAUCUCGAAAGGGAUGCUAAUACCGCAUACGUCCUACGGGAGAAAGCAGGGAUCACUUGUGACCUUGCGCUAAUAGAUGAGCCUAAGUCGGAUUAGCUAGUUGGUGGGGUAAAGGCCUACCAAGGCGACGAUCUGUAGCGGGUCUGAGAGGAUGAUCCGCCACACUGGGACUGAGACACGGCCCAGACUCCUACGGGAGGCAGCAGUGGGGAAUAUUGGACAGUGGGGGGAACCCUGAUCCAGCCAUGCCGCGUGUGUGAAGAAGGCCUUAUGGUUGUAAAGCACUUUAAGCGAGGAGGAGGCUCUUUUGGUUAAUACCCAAGAUGAGUGGACGUUACUCGCAGAAUAAGCACCGGCUAACUCUGUGCCAGCCGCCGCCGUAA